rnacentral:rRNA from 1 species
UACGUAGGAGGCAAGCGUUGUCCGGAAUUACUGGGCGUAAAGCGUGCGUAGGCGGUUUGUUAAGUCCGCUGUGAAAGCCCUGGGCUCAACCUGGGAAUUGCAGUGGAUACUGGCAAGCUAGAGUGCGGUAGAGGGGGAUGGAAUUCCGCGUGUAGCAGUGAAAUGCGUAGAUAUGCGGAGGAACACCGAUGGCGAAGGCAAUCCCCUGGACCUGUACUGACGCUCAUGCACGAAAGCGUGGGGAGCAAACAGG